rnacentral:rRNA from 1 species
GGGGAAUUUUGGACAAUGGGCGCAAGCCUGAUCCAGCCAUGCCGCGUGUCUGAAGAAGGCCUUCGGGUUGUAAAGGACUUUUGUCAGGGAAGAAAAGGCUGUUGCUAAUACCGACAGCUGAUGACGGUACCUGAAGAAUAAGCACCGGCUAACUACGUGCCAGCAGCCGCGGUAAUACGUAGGGUGCGAGCGUUAAUCGGAAUUACUGGGCGUAAAGCGGGCGCAGACGGUUACUUAAGCAGGAUGUGAAAUCCCCGGGCUCAACCCGGGAACUGCGUUCUGAACUGGGUGACUCGAGUGUGUCAGAGGGAGGUAGAAUUCCACGUGUAGCAGUGAAAUGCGUAGAGAUGUGGAGGAAUACCGAUGGCGAAGGCAGCCUCCUGGGAUAACACUGACGUUCAUGCCCGAAAGCGUGGGUAGCAAACAGGAUUAGAUACCCUGGUAGUCCACGCCCUAAACGAUGUCAAUUAGCUGUUGGGCAACUUGAUUGCUUAGUAGCGUAGCUAACGCGUGAAAUUGACCGCCUGGGGAGUACGGUCGCAAGAUUA